GUAGUGAGUGCAGCUGCCUUGGAGACACUGAUAUUGAGAGCCCUCGCUUCGCCUGACCCUAAGCAGCAGCGGCAGUUUUGGAACAUCCACUAGCCUCGUUGGCUGGGAGCAGGAAGUCAGGGGUAUUUCAACCUUGAGUUCCUGACCUUAUCCCACUCCUAGACCAGCUCCUCCUCCUGUUUUCCUGGCUCAAAAGAGCUUCAAAGUUGCUAAUUCCCACUGGCCAACUGGACUGAACCAUGUCUACAACCCGGUGUAGAGACAGAUCAACUUUAUUUGAUGGAAAAUCAGUCCCAGGAUGAUGAGGCUGAGAAAUUCCAGUGCUGGUUGCUAUCGGCGUGGUGCCCAUGAUGCGCCGGAAAGUAGUCACCUGCCACAUCCGUCAUCAACAGAGGCCCAGGAAUGUGGCCUGUUGGGGAAGCUGGGCCAAAGGUGAGGCAGACCCAGAAAGCACAGGACAAGCAGAGAUGGAAAUCCCUGACAACCUCCAGGAUGGGGACCAGCCCUAGAUCCCGCAGACUAGAGCUCUGGGCCCACGGAGAAGAGCCGCUGAGUUUAAAUCCAGAGAAGUGACGUGCUUUGCAAAACCGCAGAGAUGGCCUGUCCCUGGCAGUUUCUGUUCAAGGCCAAAUCCUAUAAGUUUGAUUUGACUGAGGAAAUGGAUAUCAACAACAAUGUAGACAAAGCCCAUCAGCCUCCCUCCAGUCCAGUGACACAGGAUGACCCCAAAUGUCACAACCUUGGCAAGCACCGGAAUGAGUCUCCCCAGCCCCUCACGGGGACAGCAAAGCAGUCUCCAGAAUCCCUGGUCAAGCCGGCUGCACCCCCAUCGGCCCGCCCACGGCACCUGAGGAUCAAAAACUGGUGCAGCGGGAUGACUUUCCAAGACACACUUCACCACAAGGCCAAAGGGCAUCUCGCUUGCAAGUCCAGGUCUUGCCUGGGAGCCAUCAUGAACCCCAAAAGUUUGACCAUAGGACCCAGGGACAAGCCUACCCUCCCAGACGAGCUUCUACCUCAAGCUAUUGAAUUUGUCAACCAGUAUUACGGCUCCUUCAAAGAGGCAAAAAUAGAGGAACAUCUGGCCAGGGUGGAAGCGGUAACAAAGGAGAUAGAAACAACAGGAACCUACCAGCUGACGGGAGAUGAGCUCAUCUUCGCCACCAAGCAGGCCUGGCGCAACGCCCCCCGCUGCAUUGGGAGGAUCCAGUGGUCCAACCUGCAGGUCUUCGACGCGCGGAGCUGUUCCACGGCCCAGGAGAUGUUCGAGCACAUCUGCAGACACCUGCGUUAUGCCACCAACAACGGCAACAUCAGGUCGGCCAUCACCGUGUUCCCCCAGCGGAGCGACGGGAAACAUGACUUCCGGGUCUGGAACGCCCAGCUCAUCCGGUAUGCCGGCUACCAGAUGCCUGAUGGUACCAUCAGAGGGGACCCUGCCAGCGUGGAGCUCACCCAGCUGUGCAUCGACCUGGGCUGGAAGCCCAAAUACGGCCGCUUCGAUGUGGUGCCUCUGGUCCUGCAGGCUGAUGGCCGUGACCCUGAGCUCUUCGAAAUCCCUCCCGACCUUGUGUUUGAGGUGCCCAUGGAACAUCCCAAGUAUGAGUGGUUCCGGGAGCUGGAGCUGAAGUGGUAUGCCCUGCCGGCCGUAGCCAACAUGCUGCUUGAGGUGGGUGGCCUUGAGUUCCCAGGGUGCCCCUUCAACGGCUGGUAUAUGGGCACAGAGAUCGGAGUCCGGGACUUCUGUGACGUCCAGCGCUACAACAUCCUGGAGGAAGUGGGCAGGAGAAUGGGCCUGGAAACACACAAGGUGGCCUCACUCUGGAAGGACCGGGCUGUCAUUGAGAUCAAUGUCGCUGUGCUCCACAGUUUCCAGAAGCAUAAUGUGACCAUCAUGGACCACCACUCAGCUGCAGAGUCCUUCAUGAAGUACAUGCAGAAUGAGUACCGGUCCCGAGGGGGCUGCCCAGCUGACUGGAUUUGGUUGGUACCCCCAAUUUCUGGAAGCAUCACCCCCGUGUUCCACCAGGAGAUGUUAAAUUAUGUCCUGUCCCCUUUCUACUACUACCAGGUGGAGGCCUGGAAAACCCACGUCUGGCAGGAUGAGAGGCGGAGACCCCGGAGAAGAGAGAUUCGAUUCAAAGUCUUGGUCAAAGCCGUGCUCUUUGCGUCAGUGCUGAUGCGUGAGAAAAUGGCUUCCCGGGUCAGAGCCACGAUCCUCUUCGCAACAGAGACAGGAAGAUCAGAAACACUGGCCCGGGACCUAGGGGCCUUGUUCAGCUGUGCCUUCAACCCUAAGGUUCUCUGCAUGGACGAAUACAGACUGAGCCAUCUGGAGGAGGAACAGCUACUGCUGGUGGUGACCAGCACGUUCGGGAACGGAGACUCCCCUGGCAACGGAGAGAAACUGAAGAAGUCCCUCUUCAUGCUGAAAGAACUCACCAACAAGUUCAGGUAUGCCGUGUUUGGCCUCGGCUCCAGCAUGUACCCUCAGUUCUGCGCCUUUGCUCAUGACAUCGACCAGAAGUUGUCCCAGCUGGGGGCUUCUCAGAUCUCCCCAACAGGGGAAGGGGACGAGCUCAGCGGGCAGGAGGAGGCCUUCCGUGGCUGGGCCGUGCAAACCUUCAAGGCAGCCUGUGAGACGUUCGAUGUCCGAGGCAAACACCACAUCCAGAUCCCCAAGCUCUACACUGCCAAUGUGACCUGGGACCUGCACCACUACCGGCUCGUGCAAGACUCACAGCCUUUGGACCUCAACAAAGCCCUCGGCAGUAUGCACGCCAAGCACGUGUUCACCAUGAGGCUGAAAUCGCAGCGGAAUCUGCAGAGUCCAAAAUCCAGCCGUACCACCCUCCUGGUGGAACUCUCCUGUGAGGGCAGCCAAGGCCCAAGCUACCUGCCGGGAGAGCACCUCGGAGUUUUCCCAGGCAACCAGCCAGCCCUGGUCCAAGGCAUCCUGGAGCGAGUGGUGGAUGGCCCUGCCCCCCACCAACCCAUGCGCCUGGAGACCCUCUGCGAGAACGGCAGCUACUGGGUCAGGGACAAGCGACUGCCCACCUGCUCACUCAGCCAGGCUCUCACCUAUUUCCUGGACAUCACCACCCCACCAACCCAGCUGCUGCUCCGAAAGCUGGCCCAGCUGGCCACGGACGAGGCUGAGAGGCAGAGGCUGGAGACCCUGUGCCAGCCGUCUGAUUACAGCAAGUGGAAGUUCACCAAUAGCCCCACCUUCCUGGAGGUGCUGGAGGAGUUCCCGUCCCUGCGGGUGUCCGCCAGCUUCCUGCUCUCCCAGCUGCCUGUCCUGAAGCCCCGGUAUUACUCCAUCAGCUCCUCCAGGGACCACGCACCCACGGAGAUCCACCUCACCGUGGCCGUGCUCACGUACCGCACCCGAGACGGCCAGGGUCCCCUGCACCAUGGCGUCUGCAGCACAUGGCUCAGCAACCUGAAGCCCCAAGACCCGGUGCCCUGCUUUGUGCGAAGUGCCAGCGGCUUCCAGCUCCCUGAGGACCCCUCCCACCCUUGCAUCCUCAUCGGGCCUGGCACGGGCAUCGCCCCCUUCCGCAGCUUCUGGCAGCAGCGGCUUCAUGAUGCCGAGCACAAAGGUCUCCAGAGCGGCCGCAUGACCCUGGUGUUUGGGUGCCGCCGCCCAGAUGAGGACCACCUCUACCGGGAAGAGAUGUUGGAGAUGACCCGCAAGGGGGUGCUGCAUGAGGUGCACACAGCCUAUUCUCGCCUGCCUGACCAGCCCAAGGUCUACGUUCAAGACAUCCUGCGGCAACAGCUGGCGGACGAGGUGCUGCACGUGCUCCACGAGGACCAGGGCCACCUCUACAUCUGCGGGGACGUGCGCGCAGCCCGGGAUGUGGCCCGCACCCUGAAGCAGCUGGUGGCCACCGCGCUGAGCCUAACUGAGGAGCAGGUGGAGGACUAUUUCUUCCAGCUUAAGGAAAAGCCGAAGUGAAGAGAUUCCGUAGAGAGAGCAAGACACUUACGAUGGGAGCCGAGCCGGCCGACCACAUCCUUGGAGGCUGAAGGGGAUGAGAAACCACAGUGGUGGUUAACACUGGCGCCACACGAGAGUAACACGGCGGCAGAAGCUGUGGCAGCCUGGGAGAACUGCACCGUGGAGAAGGCGGGCGGGAUGAGAGCUGCGCCGGUGUUCUGUUAAAACAUAAAGGUGCCAUGGGCUGAAGAGAAGCACUAACGGAAGAGGGGAAAAGCAGGGCCCACAGGUAAGAGGGAGACAGACAGGCAAGCAGGCGGAGUGGGGGUGUCCAGGACGGGCAGAGGGAAGGUUAGGCUCCAGGGAGUGACGGCAGGCUGGCUGUCUCUCUCUCCACCUCCGUCUCUCUCUCCUCUCUCCCCAACCCCACAGGGGGAGUUAGGGAGGGAAGGAAUAUGAGAGAUGAGGACCAAAGAGAAAGGGCCUCAUAUCUGUCAGGGGCCUGCUGUGUGCCUUCCCAUCUCAGGGAACACACUCAAAUACCAAAGUGGUGCUGACAGCUCCCAACCAGCGGCCUGGGGCCCUGCAGAAUGUGGGCCCAGCAUUCCCCAAUCGUUCCAGUUUUCACAAAAAACCAGAAAUCCAGAUGACCAUGUGCUAUCGCCUGACCUUUUUUUUUUUUUUCUAAACUGCGGUGAAAUGCACAUAAAAUUGACCAUCUUAACUAUUUUUAAGUGUACAGUUCAGUGACAUUAAGUCGACUCCUAUAGCUGGGCAACCAUCACCGCCAUCCAGCUCCAGAACUUUUUCACCUUGCAAAACUUCUGCUGAGAGACCUCGCUGGUGGUGCAGUGGUUGAGAAUCCGCCUGCCAAUGCAGGGGACAGGGGUUCGAGCCCUGGUCCGGGAAGAUCCCACAUGCCGCGGAGCAACCAAGCCCAUGCGCCACAACUACUGAGCCUGCGCUCUAGAGCCCAUGUGCCACAACUACUGAAGCCCACGUUCCACAACUACUGAAGCCCGCGCGCCUAGAGCCCCGCUCAAUGCAAUUAGAGAAAGCCCACGUGCAGCAACAAAGACCCAACGCAGCCAUAAAUAAGUAAAUAAAUUAAAUAAUUAAAACAAAACAAAACAAAAAGCUUCUGCUGACCUUUUAGAUGCUGGUAACACAUUCAAAAAUUUUAAAGGACAGAGAGGGUCAAAUAGACCCAAGUGUGGCCCACGCAGGCUGUUCUGUGACCUCUGAUGUGUAUCGCCUCAUUGAACUCACACAAGGACCUAUGGGGUGGCAGAGACCCUGCUCCUUCCACAGGUGAGGAAACUGAGGCUGGGAGAGGCGAAGUCACUUGUCUAAGAUCCCCCAGCCCAUGAGAAUGGCAGAGCUGGUGAUUUGAGCUGGAUUCAGUUUGAUUCCCAAGCCUCGGGUCUUUCUAGAACCACACAGCCUCCUAACGAGGGUGGGAAUGACAGAGAUGAGUGGCCUAGGAGCCCGGGAGACUGAAGCAGGUGUCCCAGACAGAGACAGCGACACAAGAAGGACAGGACGGGGGAGCCACAGGUGUGUCCCCAGAGCCACCUGGAAAGGAGACUGGCUGGCACUUUGGGGCCCACACAGCAGGGCCUGGGCACAGUGGACCGGGCCCUGCACCCAGCUCCUGGGGGCGGGUGCCGGGUGGACAGUCUGACCUGAAAGCUGAUGUAGGACAGCUGCACGGCGCCCGUGACGCAGAUGGUGUUGACGCGGUGGAAGGGCACGCGGUGUGCGUACUGCAUGAAGAGGUUCUUGUUCACCAUCACCUGCCGAGAUGAGUGCAUGUUCCAGGAGGGGGUCCCUGGCCAGGUGGGAACUCACCCAAGCUUCUGGGACCCCUGCUUCUAGAAGUUUAGACCUGUAUCUAGUUUUCACAUCCAUCCCCUGUAGGUCGGGGGCAUCAGCCUUCAGAGCUGCGCCAGUUACAGGAACAUGCUUGUGACCCAAACACAAUCCCUACGUGGCUCUGGUUGUUGGCUUUUUAGUUCUUAUGGUUGUUUGUUUAUUGCAGUAGGUUUGUCUUUCUAAUCUUAGGUCACCUGGGGUGUUACUGAAAUAUGCAUACAAAUGUUCCUGGGGAGCAGAGGUGACGUCAGGUUGCAUGUUGAGGGGUUGGGAACAUCCAUGUUCACACAGAGAGGCAUAGACACAGAUGUACUCACCCCUUCUCCCGUCUCCCCAAGCCCAGAGACACUGCGCUGCUUGCAAAAGCAGUUUGCAAUGCCCUGCAAAACUAAGCCAUUAAUAACACCUGGAUAAAGACUGCAACAAUGUAACAAAAACAAAUGUUACCAGGGACCUGGAGUGGAAGAAGGGCAGAGGAACGGAAAUAAUUUGGACUUUAAAGACCCAGGAGGCCAAAAAGCACCAUGGUGACCUAUCUAGUGCUUAUCUCCGUAGUAAAAGAAGCAACAGGUGCAUAUGUAGAUGCAGGUGAAGGUGCCUAAGGAGACUGCAUCCUUACAAGCAACAAAGGUGUUUCUCACGUGACUAUUUAAGCGCUAUUCACUGCGCCUGAUAAGGCUGGGGGACAGGCAGCUGAAGGGAAGAGAGGAGAGUUCCUGCUCACCUUGAACUCCGAGCUCUGUACCAGGAAGCAGAGCUCAAAGGGACACCCCCUCUGGAAGGGCAUUUGCAUCUUCCUUUCCUCAGCCCCCCAGCUUCCUUUCUGCUUCGUGUUGCAGACCACAUAUCCGCCUUCUUCAAACCGAGGGUUGAAGUGCAAGGCAAUGUCAUUGUCAUUGUGGCCGGUCUGAAAGUUCACAGCAAACCUAGGCCAAGGGAAAUCAGACAGUGCUCUUGGUAUCCUGGUUUACUGCCAAGGGUGGGAACAGGAGGGUCUCACGCCUCUGACUGACAUCUAUCUGGGGUCCUGUCUACAACCUGCGCGGCUGGUUUGUGCCCAUCCUUAGUCGUUGCCAUCUUCUCUGCUCACCUGAUCUGCACUUAGUAUGUUUUUGUGCAGUUGCCACAUUUUGCCCUUACACUGUGAUUUUCUAAAAAUAAGUAGAAAAUGGGUAAAGAAAUUCAUCCGAGUUGGAAGUCGAGAAAUGUGCCUAGGAGUGAGAACCUUUUGCACCAAGCGGUCGCUCAUUGGAGGCCAGCCCACGUCUGCUCAGUUGAGAGAGAAGAGGACAGAUGGGAAGAGCACGUGAUAGUGAUGGGACGCCUACAGAGACGGUGUCUAAAGGGAAGGCAUAGAAUAAACACUAGCUCUCCGGGCGUGGGGACCUCAGUGUGCGCGUCUGUCCCCCUGUAGAUGUUAGCGUGUGUCCACCUGACCUGAGUGAGGUCAGCAGGCCCGGACCCAGACCCCAGCUCUUCACUCUUUGUCGUUGGCAAUGAACCCGUACCUCGCUACCCUCAAGCUGCCGCACCCUGGAAAGGGGGUGACUGCCUUCUUUCGAGGAUGAUUAACAAGGCGGCCAGGGGAAAUCCCCAAGCAAGCAACUCUUUGUUCCCAUCUCUCCUCGGAGGAAGCCCCUCACCAUGCCAGCUUCCUUUGGGUACAGCCUUGACUCUAAGGUGAGAACUGAAACAAAAGAAUCUUCUGAGGGACCUGGCUCACAAAGUGGGCGCGAUAAAUGUUUGUUCUGCCUCUUCCUAGACAGAGCUCACUCGUGUCCCCAAACCAAGCUCCAGUCUGAGGUUCUGAGGGUCUCCAGCGAGGAGCCUGUCUCUAGCCACCUUCCCUGAACUCAGCCCCAGUGUGGUUCGCAGCCUGCCUCUCGGGGUCACUUUGGUCUCCCCAACAGACACACAGCAGUCAGAGAGCACGCCUCGCUCCCAUGUCAUGCCCCACGGAGCCAGGCGCUGCCCUGCACCCGAGGGGGCCCUCGAUGGACAGAGCCCCUACCUGCAUAGCCCCUCCACUUUUUUUUUUUUUUGGCCGCACAGCUU